rnacentral:lncRNA from 1 species
UGUAUAUGUAAAGUUAUUAAACCAUGGCUUAUCAUUUAACAAUGCAAAUAAAACAACUCUAGAAACAAAUUUUAAUAACAUUUGCCUAUCUAAUCACAAAGGAAGAAGCAUUAAAAAAUUUCAGAUAUGUAGACAUUCAUGCUAUAACAAACUCAGUAUGCAUGGAUACUAGAGAUGAAGAGCUAUGCUUCACAGUGGUAGGUAACACCUCAAGAGAUAAUUCAGAAUGUAAACAACUUUAAAAUGAUCAAGAUCUGCUCUGAUAUAAUUUAUUGGUAAAGUUGGUUUUACCAGAUGCUGGACAAUAAUUGAAAGCAAGAAAUAUGUAUAGGUAAGUCAAUGUUGUGAGUUAAACUGGUUCAAAUAGAAAUGAAAGUGAUAUCAAUUGAAUGUCCAUUAGUUGUUUUUUUCUAAAAUCCAAAGGAGACGUUGGUUAUUUUACUGAAAAUUGAGGGCAACAUAAACUUUUCCCUGAUGCUUCCUUUCAGCGUAGUCAGAAAUCCUAGGUCACUUUGCACGGUUAGAUGACCCCUGAUUUAUGCAGCUAUAUAAAUUACUAACUAUCAGAAUACAUUUUGUACAUGCUGCUAGUUCUAAUUAUUUUCACAGCUGAACACACAUCAAUAAAAAGUAAGCUUAAAAUAAUAACAGCACUGGAAAAAGGGAUUUCAUAACAAUGGAUACUUAUGAUAUAUAAAUAUAAAAUCUCAAAUAAAU